AACGAACGCUGGCGGCGCGCCUAAUACAUGCAAGUCGAGCGAGAAGACGUAGCAAUACGUUUGUAAAGCGGCGAACGGGUGAGGAAUACAUGGGUAACCUACCCUCGAGUGGGGAAUAACUAGCCGAAAGGUUAGCUAAUACCGCGUACGCUCCUUGGACUUCGGUUCAGGGAGGAAAGCGAUACCGUGGGUAUCGCGCUCUUGGAUGGGCUCAUGUCCUAUCAGCUUGUUGGUGAGGUAACGGCUCACCAAGGCUUCGACGGGUAGCUGGUCUGAGAGGACGAUCAGCCACACUGGCACUGCGACACGGGCCAGACUCCUACGGGAGGCAGCAGUAAGGAAUAUUGCGCAAUGGGCAAAGCCUGACGCAGCGACGCCGCGUGGGGGAUGAAGGUCUUCGGAUUGU
rnacentral:rRNA from 1 species